UCUUUUUCUUAGCCAAUGAGCAUUAACCUCCACCAUUGAUGAAUUAAAUCCAACGGUUAAGAUUUUCUCCUUCUUUUCUUUUUUUUUUGGUUAAAACUUCUUUUCCUUUUGCCUCUUCUCUUCGUAUGAGAAAAUCAAAGGUCCCAAAAUCAAACUCUGCGAAUCUUGAGCAAGCGUAUCGCUCCCUCAUCUCCGCUUCCAGAGGUUUAUCUCGCACUCUUAGCCCUUUUCUUCCUGAAUCUCAGCCUCCGCCACCGCAAUUAGAAUCCCAAUCCCCUUCUACGGUGGUUAGCUCGUUCCUAGCUCCGGUGACGCCAUCGCCUCCAUCUCAGGAGGAAAUUCAAACCAGAAGAAGGAACAGAGAAGAGAUUCGAAGAGUGCAUGACUGCUAUAAGCGUCUCAAAUCUUCUAUUGGUCAGAGAGAUGGUGGUGGGUGCUCUGCGAAUCUUGAGCAAUUAGAAUCCCAAUCCCAAGAUGAAGGUACUUAUAAUAAGAAGAAGACGAAGCAGGAUGAAGCUUCCCUCAAGGUUCCGUCAGAUUUGCAGUCAGAUUUUGAAUUGAAAUCGAUCGAAUUGAAUUCUCUGAAGAGGACUUGGAACUAAAGCAGAACCUUGAGCUCUAUGUCGAGAGGGUUCAGGAUCCCAAUCCCGAGUUGCAGAAGGCUGCUCUUGAAAGCAUGAGUUUCUUGUUCUCUGGUAGUGGUGAAGAUGGACUCAGAGAGGGAGUUUCUAGUUACGUUUCUAUGCACUAUUGUGUUGGAACUCUUUUAUUUUCCUGAGCUAUCUCUUUGGGGAUUGUUGUUGUGUGGUUUGUUGCUUUAUAUUGCUGUUAGAGAGUUGGACUCUGUGUAUUCAGAUUAUCAAGAGAUUGGGAUGGAAUCGCCCGAGUCGUUUUCCACCAUGUUUAUGAAGCCUAUCCACCAGCCGAUGUGCAAGAUAUUGCACCUACACAAGUGACUCUUCUUCUGAUUGAGCUAUCUAGUGCCAGAGGAGGAAGAUGAAGAUAGGAGACAAGGGCAGAUGAAUAGGCAUUCUAUGUAGAGGAGAUGUAUUGGUCUUGUAUUUUUAAUUGAUGUAGUAUUUUUAUAAAAGUUUUUGUAUAUUAUUUCAUGUAAUAAUGAUAAUAAAAUAUUGUAUUUUUUAUUUUUGAUAUGUAAUUUUAAUCCAAAAAUCACAGUAAAGA